AACGAACGCUGGCGGCGUGCCUAACACAUGCAAGCCGUGCGAGAAAGUUCCUUCGGGAGCGAGUAAAGCGGCGCACGGGUGAGUAACACGUAGGUAACCUGCCCCCCAGUCUGGAACAACUAGAGGAAACUCUAGCUAAUGCCGGAUGAGACCACGAUCCCUUCGGGGGUUGCGGCCAAAGAUGGCCUCUACUUGUAAGCUAUCGCUGAGGGAUGGGCCUGCGGGCCAUUAGCUUGUUGGUGAGGUAACGGCUCACCAAGGCUGUGAUGGCUAGCUGGUCUGAGAGGAUGACCAGCCACACUGGGACUGAGACACGGCCCAGACUCCUACGGGAGGCAGCAGUGGGGAAUAUUGCGCAAUGGGCGAAAGCCUGACGCAGCGACGCCGCGUGGGUGAUGAAGGCCUUCGGGUCGUAAAGCCCUGUCGCAGGGGAAGAAUAAGCAUCGGUAUAAUACGCCGGUGCCCUGACGGUACCCUGCAAGAAAGCACCGGCUAACUCCGUG
rnacentral:rRNA from 1 species